rnacentral:rRNA from 1 species
UUACGGGAGGCAGCAGUGAGGAAUAUUGGUCAAUGGGCGCAAGCCUGAACCAGCCAUGCCGCGUGAAGGAUGAAGGCUCUACGAGUUGUAAACUUCUUUUAUACGGGAAGAAAAAGGGUCAUUUUUGGCCAACUGACGGUACCGUGUGAAUAAGGAUCGGCUAACUCCGUGCCAGCAGCCGCGGUAAUACGGAGGAUCCAAGCGUUAUCCGGAUUUAUUAGGUUUAAAGGGUGCGUAGGCGGGGAAAUAAGUCAGUGGUGAAAUACUUCAGCUUAACUGAAGCACUGCCAUUGAUACUGUUUUUCUUGAGUACAGUUGAGGUAGGCGGAAUGUGUAGUGUAGCGGUGAAAUGCUUAGAUAUUACACAGAACACCGAUUGCGAAGGCAGCUUGCUAAACUGUAACUGACGCUGAUGCACGAAAGCGCGGGGAGCGAACAGGAUUAGAUACCCUUGU